rnacentral:rRNA from 1 species
AGUGAACGCUGGCGGUAGGCCUAACACAUGCAAGUCGAACGGCAGCACAGUAAGAGCUUGCUCUUACGGGUGGCGAGUGGCGGACGGGUGAGGAAUACAUCGGAAUCUACUUUUUCGUGGGGGAUAACGUAGGGAAACUUACGCUAAUACCGCAUCCGACCUACGGGUGAAAGCAGGGGAUCUUCGGACCUUGCGCGAUUGAAUGAGCCGAUGUCGGAUUAGCUAGUUGGCGGGGUAAAGGCCCACCAAGGCGACGAUCCGUAGCUGGUCUGAGAGGAUGAUCAGCCACACUGGAAAUGAGACACGGUCCAGACUCCUACGGGAGGCAGCAGUGGGGAAUAUUGGACAAUGGGCGCAAGCCUGAUCCAGCCAUACCGCGUGGGUGAAGAAGGCCUUCGGGUUGUAAAGCCCUUUUGUUGGGAAAGAAAAGCAGCAGGUUAAUACCCCGCUGUUCUGACGGUACCCAAAGAAUAAGCACCGGCUAACUUCGUG